rnacentral:misc_RNA from 1 species
GGGGUGGUGCUUUUGUUUCUCUUGAUUCAGCCCUCUUUUGGUUAGUUUCCCUCAUGUUAGCUGAUAAUGCCCGAGAGGAUUACUUUGACGAGAUAGAGAAAGAUUGCAAGGUUGAUAAUGGGCAGGUUCUUGUAGAUGAUUAUGAUGCACCUCCUGCACAUCUCAAGGGCAUUGCAUAGAAGCAGAUGGCCUGAACUGAGUCAUUAUUUUAGACAUUUCCAUGUCACAAAUAAUUCAGUUGCC